GGAUGUGAGGGCGAUCUGGCUGCUACAUCUGUCACCCCAUUGCUCGCCAGGGUGGAUUUGGCUGAUCUGGCUGGCUAGGUGGGUGUCCCCUUCCUCCCUCACUGCCCCCUGUGCGUCCCUCCCGUAGCUGGGCGCUCGUGCUCGGUGGAAGAGGACAACCUUCCCCAAUAGAGGAGGGCCAUUCUUCCGUCAAGGUCAUAUGAGUAGCUGCACCCCCUGUUAGAACCUCCAAACAAGCCCUUAAGAACAGCGGCAGAGCUGGGAUGUAAACCCAGCAUUUUUGCUCUAGGACAUGCCCUCUAAAC
rnacentral:snRNA from 1 species